rnacentral:rRNA from 1 species
AUUGAACGCUGGCGGCAUGCCUUACACAUGCAAGUCGAACGGUAACAGGUCUUCGGAUGCUGACGAGUGGCGAUCGGGUGAGUAAUACAUCGGAACGUGCCCGAUCGUGGGGGAUAACGAAGCGAAAGCUUUGCUAAUACCGCAUACGAUCUACGGAUGAAAGCAGGGGACCGCAAGGCCUUGCGCGAACGGAGCGGCCGAUGGCAGAUUAGGUAGUUGGUGGGAUAAAAGCUUACCAAGCCGACGAUCUGUAGCUGGUCUGAGAGGACGACCAGCCACACUGGGACUGAGACACGGCCCAGACUCCUACGGGAGGCAGCAGUGGGGAAUUUUGGACAAUGGGCGAAAGCCUGAUCCAGCCAUGCCGCGUGCAGGAUGAAGGCCUUCGGGUUGUAAACUGCUUUUGUACGGAACGAAAAGACUCUGGUUAAUACCUGGGGUCCAUGACGGUACCGUAAGAAUAAGCACCGGCUAACUACGUG